rnacentral:rRNA from 1 species
GCAGUAGCCGCGGGAAUGCGUAGGUGGCAAGCGUUGUCCGGAAUUAUUGGGCGUAAAGGGCUCGCAGGCGGUUUCUUAAGUCUGAUGUGAAAGCCCCCGGCUCAACCGGGGAGGGUCAUUGGAAACUGGGAAACUUGAGUGCAGAAGAGGAGAGUGGAAUUCCACGUGUAACGGUGAAAUGCAUAGAGAUGUGGAGGAACACCAGUGGCGGAGGCGACUCUCUGGUCUGUAACUGACGCUGAGGAGCGAAAGCGUGGGGAGCGAACAGGAUUAGAUACCCCUGUAGUCCCUGUCUCUUAUAC